rnacentral:rRNA from 1 species
GACGAACGCUGGCGGCGUGCUCAACACACGCAAGUCGAACGAUGAAGCCGGAGCUUGCUCUGGUGAAUUAGUGGCGAACGGGUGAGUAACACGUGAGUAACCUGCCCUUGACUCUGGGAUAACUGCGGGAAACUGUAGCUAAUACCGGAUACGACCCUCGGAGGCAUCUCCAGGGGGUGGAAAGAAUUUCGGUCAAGGAUGGACUCGCGGCCUAUCAGCUAGUUGGUGAGGUAACGGCUCACCAAGGCAACGACGGGUAGCCGGCCUGAGAGGGUGACCGGCCACACUGGGACUGAGACACGGCCCAGACUCCUACGGGAGGCAGCAGUGGGGAAUAUUGCACAAUGGGCGCAAGCCUGAUGCAGCAACGCCGCGUGAGGGAUGACGGCCUUCGGGUUGUAAACCUCUUUUAGUAGGGAAGAAGCGAAAGUGACGGUACCUGCAGAAAAAGCACCGGCUAACUACGUGCCAGCAGCCGCGGUAA